rnacentral:rRNA from 1 species
GACGAACGCUGGCGGCGUGCUUAACACAUGCAAGUCGAACGAUGAAGAAGAGAAACGCGAACUUCGGUUCAAAUUUCACUUCGGAUUAGUGGCAGACGGGUGAGUAACGCGUGAGCAACCUACCUCUUACAAAGGGAUAGCCUCGGGAAACCGUGAUUAAUACCAUAUGACACAUUCAUAAGGCAUCUUAAGAAUGUUAAAGCUACGGCGGUAAGAGAUGGGCUCGCGUCCCAUUAGCUAGUUGGUGAGGUAACGGCCCACCAAGGCGACGAUGGGUAACCGGCCUGAGAGGGUGAACGGUCACAUUGGAAAUGAGACACGGUCCAAACUCCUACGGGAGGCAGCAGUGGGGAAUAUUGCACAAUGGAGGGAACUCUGAUGCAGCGACGCCGCGUGAGCGAUGAAGGAAUUCGUUUCGUAAAGCUCUGUUCUAUGGGAAGAAAAGGACUGUACCAUAGGAGAAAGCCCCGGCUAAAUACGU